CCUACGGGAGGCAGCAGUGGGGAAUAUUGGACAAUGGGCGAAAGCCUGAUCCAGCGACGCCGCGUGGGUGAAGAAGGCCUGCGGGUUGUAAAGCCCUUUCGGUGGGGAAGAAAAGCCUCGAGCUAAUACCUCGGGGUCUUGACGUAACCCAUAGAAGAAGCACCGGCUAACUCUGUGCCAGCAGCCGCGGUAAUACAGAGGGUGCGAGCGUUAAUCGGAAUUACUGGGCGUAAAGCGCGCGUAGGCGGCUUUGCAAGUCGGGUGUGAAAUCCCCAGGCUUAACCUGGGAACUGCAUUCGAGACUGCAUUGCUAGAGUAUGGGAGAGGGAAGUGGAAUUUCAGGUGUAGCGGUGAAAUGCGUAGAUAUCUGAAGGAACAUCAGUGGCGAAAGCGACUUCCUGGACCAAUACUGACGCUCAUGUGCGAAAGCGUGGGGAGCA
rnacentral:rRNA from 1 species